rnacentral:rRNA from 1 species
GACAGAGGGGGCAAGCGUUGCUCGGAAUUACUGGGCGUAAAGGGCGCGUAGGCGGGAUGCAAGUCGGUCGUGAAAUCCCUCGGCUCAACCGAGGAACGUCGAUCGAUACUGCUGUUCUUGAGGAUUGCAGAGGAGACUGGAAUUCCCGGUGUAGCGGUGAAAUGUGUAGAGAUCGGGAGGAACACCGGUGGCGAAAGCGGCUCUCUGGCCCGGUUCUGACGCUGAGGCGCG